rnacentral:sRNA from 1 species
UGCCGCUGAUCGCCGUUCGCGUAGAGCGGU